UAGUAGCUAUAGCUGUUCAGAAACUAGGAUUCUUCAAGUUUGUUCUUGGGAAGGAAAAAGCUUUUACAGCAGAGCUAGAGAUUCCCAUGAGAUCAUGUGGGGGGAGGGGGUGGGCGGGUAGCUAGCUAGCUUUGUCCUUUGAUUGUUCCCCUCUUUUCUGGCGAUGGGACGAAAGGACCGACACUGUUUCGAUUUCGAAUCUUACUUCUUCUUCUGUAAGUAAGAUUCGAGACGAAUACUACAUGUUCAGAUUACAGAGCUUAGUAUUGUGUAUGUGAAAUCAUAUGCCAACUGGUGUAUAUAUAGUUGAGAAUUCUGACAAGGCUUUCACUUCACUAGUUUUGCAUAAGUUAAUUUUGUUGGGUAUAGUUUUGUCAUCCUUCUGCUCAGG
rnacentral:lncRNA from 1 species